rnacentral:lncRNA from 1 species
AAAGUUUCUAGGUAUGGCCACACUUCAAAGCGAGAGAUCCAUUUGCGGACCAUACCCUUUCCAUCUCUGAAGGGAACUCGAAGAAUAUCACAAUGCUCAGAUCCAUACACUCUCUCCAAACGUUGACCACAAGUGGUUCCUACUGCAUCAGGGAGUAGUCGAGUAAUCUGUAAACAUGAGAAAGAACAUAUUAAGCACCAAGGAAUGUAAUAAAAUUAUAAAAGAAGAAAAAACUGGUAAAAUACUCCUUAAGGCUUGAACUUACAAUGAGAAUUCGGGGGAUAAUAUCAAGUCCUUGCUUCUUGAUACGCUGAAGCAUUUCAUUCUCCAAGGCACGGACUUGAUCCAAAAUGUAAACAACCUAGUAUAAAGCAAAAUGCUAGCCAGAUCAGGCAAGGUUUCAACAGAGUGGGCACGAAGAAAGAGAGAAAAGUAGGAUUGUGAAUAACCUGGCCUCCAGUAUCAGGAUACCCCAAAACAUUGUCUUGGGCAAAGUAUCCAUGAGGGGACAUAAUCACAACAUUGAAGACCAUAGGAAUUCUGCCUAGGAAUGUUUCGAGAGUGCAGGGAUCUGGUGCCUCAAGAAGAUCCAAAAGAAGUCGAAUCAUCUCAAGAACACGCUCAGCAGUAUCACCCCAUCCUCUCUCCAAGCCAAUCUCCUGGAACUUGUGUUCAAAUUGAGAAUAUGGAGUAUCAGG